rnacentral:rRNA from 1 species
AACGAACGCUGGCGGCAUGCCUAACACAUGCAAGUCGAACGAGACCUUCGGGUCUAGUGGCGCACGGGUGCGUAACGCGUGGGAACCUGCCCUUAGGUUCGGAAUAACUCCCCGAAAGGGGUGCUAAUACCGGAUAAUGUCUUCGGACCAAAGAUUUAUCGCCUUUGGAUGGGCCCGCGUUGGAUUAGCUAGUUGGUAGGGUAAAAGCCUACCAAGGCGACGAUCCAUAGCUGGUCGGAGAGGAUGAUCAGCCACACUGGGACUGCGACACGGCCCAGACUCCUACGGGAGGCAGCAGUGGGGAAUAUUGGACGAUGGGCGAAAGCCUGAUCCAGCAAUGCCGCGUGAGUGAUGAAGGCCUUAGGGUUGUAAAGCUCUUUUACCCGGGAUGAUAAUGACAGUACCGGGAGAAUAAGCUCCGGCUAACUCCGUG